AUACAUGCAGUCGAACGCUUCUUUUUCCACCGGAGCUUGCUCCACCGGAAAAAGAGGAGUGGCGAACGGGUGAGUAACACGUGGGUAACCUGCCCAUCAGAAGGGGAUAACACUUGGAAACAGGUGCUAAUACCGUAUAACAAUCGAAACCGCAUGGUUUUGAUUUGAAAGGCGCUUUCGGGUGUCGCUGAUGGAUGGACCCGCGGUGCAUUAGCUAGUUGGUGAGGUAACGGCUCACCAAGGCGACGAUGCAUAGCCGACCUGAGAGGGUGAUCGGCCACAUUGGGACUGAGACACGGCCCAAACUCCUACGGGAGGCAGCAGUAGGGAAUCUUCGGCAAUGGACGAAAGUCUGACCGAGCAACGCCGCGUGAGUGAAGAAGGUUUUCGGAUCGUAAAACUCUGUUGUUAGAGAAGAACAAGGAUGAGAGUAACUGUUCAUCCCUUGACGGUAUCUAACCAGAAAGCCACGGCUAACUACGUGCCAGCAGCGGCCCGGGUAAUAAA
rnacentral:rRNA from 1 species